rnacentral:lncRNA from 1 species
CGCAGUGCUCGGGAGGAGAGCGGGUUCGGUGCGAGCUGCAUUACAGUUGUGCCUAAGAGCGAAGAGCUCCUCGACGUAAUGCGUUGCGCUGUUCUCAGCAGCCGCCUGAAAUGACCGUCAAAGCGGAGAAGACGUCAGAUAAGGAAGGAAGGGUGAUGGGAUGCAGAUGGGAUCUUCGUGGUCAGGAGUGACGAGACUGCGGCAGGAGGGUGGAGCUGAACGCAGGAACGGACAGCCUCCAGGAGCAGCCUAUUGACUGUCCGAGGAAAUCUGCAUUGUCCUCCAUUCGUUGUCUUCUCUCAAAAUGUGCAACACUUCUUUGACGCCUCUGCAGCUUGGAAUUCAGGGAUGGAAAGAAGUCGAAGCAAAAUGCUAUUUCCU